CUCUUCCCCGACUCGACCGACUCCGUGUUGAGAAGGCGACCUAAUCCCCAAAUCCCGCCCUAGCCUCCACCACAUCCAUGGCGCUCCCCACCUUGCCCUUCAACCCCCCCACCCCGCCGCCCCCCGGGUUCCCCGACUCGGCCAUACUCCGCAAGACGGCGCGCGUGUCGGCGGACCGGAACGCGACCACCGCCGGGUGCCGCACCGAGGACGGCCAGGCCGUGGAGGUAUCCUUCUGGCUCGUCCACCCGCCGGCCAUCUCCCACUUCUCCGUCAACUGCCCCGGCAUCAAUCGCGCGUACGAGGCCUCGCUCGUCUGCGCCGAGGACGCCUUCGUCCUCUUCAGCCUCCAGUACUGGGGCCCCGCCCGCUUCUUCGUCUACACAGCCGGGAAGCAGCCGUCCCUACGGCUGCUCCCAAACCCCAGCCUUCCCUACUUCGGCGGGCAGCAGUUUGGCCUCCUGCCCCGCGGCGACGGCGAGCACUACGCCCUGGCCUUCCUCCGCUGCAAGUGGAGUCUCCAAGACGAUGUUUGUCGGUUCGAUGCCCAUGUCUUCUCGUCCGAAACACGGGCAUGGACGACCAGGAGGGCGUACUUGUCGGACCCCGCCGACAAGCCAUUGUGUGGUCGGAAUGACCUCUUCAACCAGAUCAGGGUUGGAGCAACCUCGCUGGGCUGGUUUGAUAACCACCAUGGCAUCCUCCUUCUUGACCACCUGUUUGCCACGCAUCCUGCCAUCAGUAUAAUCCCAUUACCGGUCGCAACCGUUGGCUUGCCCGUGCCAAUCAAACCGGAUGACAAGUACAUUGCCUCUGAGUAUUUCUACAAUGUCGCCUGCUGCGAUGAUCUCAUCAAAUUCGUCCACAUCAAAUACGACGACCCUCGUGCCUUGGCCAGGGGUUCAGGUUGGAAAGCCACAAUGUGGAAUAUGAAUGUCUCUGGGAAAAAUUGGUGCCAGGGCUACACGGUUGAUGUUGACGAAAUCUCGGUCGACAAAAGUUUUUCUGCUAAAUUGCCUGAGCUGUGGGAUGAUGAGACUCAACAACUGCAGUUGAAGAAACUGACGUUCCAUGGCCCGAUCCUGAGCACACUCAAUGACGAUUUGCUUUACAUGAUGGCCAAGGUGAAGCAUGAUGACGACGCAGCCUGGGCCAUCGCUAUUGACAUGAAACAUGCAGCUCUCAAGGCACUGGCCAAAUUUUCUGUCGAACCCAACCAACAACUCCUCACCACAGCCUGCUUCUCAUGCGUCUUCCCCAAGUACCUCAACGUUCCCCAUGUGAUUUAACCAGCAAUGCUAUCUUCGAAUUCUUGGUUUGUAUGCUAGUAAUAUAUGUAACUUAUAAGUGCUCAUGAGAACGUCUUACUUUUGACACUAUUUGGGCUCUUCGGAUUAAUUAGUUUAGCUGUUCGUUAACAUUAGAAAUAGACUAGGAUUUGCCAUGCAUUGUUUCAUGCUAUGCUAUCCAUUGUGUUCUUCGUUUUCUGUUUGUUAUAAAUUGUACAUUUCAGUACCAAGUAUUGACACUGUUGCCGUUGGACUUUUUAGCUGUUUGUUAACCCUCAUCAUACAUGUUACGCGUUAGAAACUGACAUGAGGCAGCAGAUGGCACACACAAAAUGUGCUGCCAGUAUGGACCAUGUAUCUAUACAAACCCCGGCCAGUCAUACAGGGUAGACAUACUGCAUGCUAAAAGUAUGCAAGGUGAGACAGCUGCUGUCAUCAGCAGAGAUAAUUAACUUGUUUUAUUAGCAUAGUGUUACGAUAAUUGAGGCCGUAAUGAACCGCCUCAUUCCAUUCCUUCUAUAAACAGAAAUGAAUUGUUGAUGCCAAUUCAAACCCAUUACUGGAAUCAAAUUUAAGUAUCAAACGAGAGACAAGUUUAUCAUCAAGUGCUGUUUGCACUACAGAAUACCGAAGCACAAGUACCUCUUGUGCAAACUGCACAGUGCCUCAUCUAUCAUGAAAAUGCCACCACGUUGUCAUCCAAACCUCAGGACAAAUUCACUGUACCGACCCAGUAAAAAAUUCACACAACGAACUCGUAUUGAAAAGAUUUUACGUUUUGAUCCUUUUAAAAACGACAGAAACCGUGACGUUGCUGUUGUAUUUAGAAACACCAGUAUUCCAAAUAGAAACGCCAGGAAGGUCCUGGCGUUACUAUGCAGGCACAAAACACCAUUGACAUGCUGACUGACGGGAUGGGACGGUUUUAGCAAUCGAUGCAGUGCUGGGUGUGACGUGGACCGUCCUGGUCCGAUCUGCUCGUCCACUAAAUACAGGCUGCUGACUGACGGGACGGGAAAGACUGGCAGGUCACGGCCAGGCGGCACGCUUUUACCUGACGGUAGCUUCGCUCCGUCCCAGCUGUGGAGUGUAGUUAUAUUUCUGCUUUUUAACAGGGGGGCCACGCCACGUUUUUGCCUGCAGGUAGCUCCGCUCCGUCCCAGCUUUGCAUGGAGAAGAAGCAUGCUUUGCAUGGAGAACGACAGAACUACAGCUCUUUUUUUGCCUACUGCAUGCAUGGCCGAAACGCCAUUGUCAAGCUCAGUGUGGACCGUGCUGUGCACGUACGCUUGGAUUGACAGGCACGAGACAGCACUGACCACCACCAGCAGCAGCAGGAGGAGGCAGGCAAAGCUGAUAGAGUGGUACUAGUACGUACUCUACGUGAGUGAACAGGAACAGAUACAAGAGGCAGGCGCAGGCACAGGCACAGCACACAAAACGCAAACAAAGGCGUUUCUAGCCUGGGAAGCAACGCACUACAACGCGUCCGUGGACUGGCGUUUGAAUGUGGACCAGAAACGUCACGGUAGACUGACGUUUUUAUGUGAAACAGCAACGCCACGGGCUCUGGCGUUUUUAAAAGGGUCAAAUCCGGAAAUACUUUCAGAUUGAGUUCGUUCUGUGAAUUUUUCACAGCCUGUGGAUCAGAACAGUAAAAAAAAACCAAACCUCAUGUGUUACAGCAGUCAGCUAGAUCCAUUGUCCU
rnacentral:lncRNA from 1 species